rnacentral:tRNA from 1 species
GCCCGGGUGGCGGAAUUGGUAGACGCAAGGGACUUAAAAUCCCUCGCUCGCAAGGGCGUACCGGUUCGAUUCCGGUCCCGGGCACCA